CGCUUCUGCCAAAGAUAUCCAAGAGAAGCUAAAGAAGAAUUUUGGAAAAGAAAAUUUUGAGAUCAAAGUCCAAGGGCAGGGGCAGGGGCCUGAAAAUAUAGUAGAGUGUAUAGAAGAUGUUGAAAAGGCGAAUUUUGAGAUAAAAAUGGAGGUGGACGGUGAAUAUGAUGAAUCAGCAGGGCCAGGGCAGAUGGUAGAAGAUGUUGGGGUUGGGAAAUUGAAGUCGUACAUCCAUAAAUUAAAGAAAAGGAAAAAG